rnacentral:lncRNA from 1 species
AAUCAGUAGAAAGCAGUUAGCAAAUGUAAAUCACAUAUUAUGACAACUGGAAAAGAGCAGAAUGUCAUUUAAUUGUUCAGUUAGGUGGUAGUGGAGAAGACAGUUUUAAAAAGUGACUUUUUUUCCCUUGAGCAGUAAGACCUAACUCUUUAACCCUUCUACUGUGCCUCUAAUAGAGACUAUGUAUACAAGCCUCCUUCAUUUCUAGGAUUUGUCAGUGCUUUUAGAGCUGACCGCUUCUUCCUUUUGGCUUCUCUGAAGCAACUUCAGGUAUAAACAUGUAAUCUAUAUGUUCGAAUGACUUUACUGUUCAUGCAGCACCUGAAAUGCAUGCAUAACAUAUGGCACAGCAGUAACUACUUCCUUUUCUUACAGAACAGAAAUGGAAUGUGUAUUAUGCAUGUAAAAAUGAAUUCUCCGAUAAGAACAGAGAACACCCAAGGAUUAGUAAGGAUCUCUUUAAUAUACUGGUCCUGUGCUCCACACUCCUUGUUAACAUGAGGAGUCUCCCACAAUAUGUUAAAAGAUGAGUCUUUAGUCUCCAGCUUGCUGAUCCCUGGUUUACAAUCAGAUGUGACAGCAAUAGAAUGACUGUAAAUAUCUUGAUGUGAAAAUCUGUAUGAAGAUGGGACUGCCAUUUCUCUUCCUACUCUUCUGUGUUUUUGGUACGCGAGAUGUUAGCUGCACCACUUCUGCUUGCUUCCCAUCAAACUGGAAAAAUGCAUCUGCUCUGCUUUCUGAGCCACCCUCUAGAAAAUAUGAAGAAGCCCUGGAGCCCUGACUUACCAGUUGAUAGUCACUCAUACAAUUCAGAUUUUACAUCCAUCCCAGACAGAGAAAAUGAGAAAGAUUUAGCACCUGAUGGCACUGAGGAAAAGAAGGAGAGAGAAAAGAAACACACCAAUUUCACUUUGUGCAAUGUUUGUAACAUUCAGCUGAACUCUGCAGCUCAGGCACAAAUCCACUAUAAUGGCAAAUCCCAUCAGAAGAGAUUAAAACAGCUCAGCAAUGGAAAUUUCAAAAGUGAUAAUGGUUUCUGUCAUGGGAUGGAGAGAAUACCAAACGGGCUUUGAUAGGAAGAAACACUCCAGGCUACCUGACGAUGUUAUUGCUACGUCUGAGUUUAGAUCUAUUGUCAUAAGAUUUUAAUGAACGUUUCCAAAAAGUUUACUCCAAAUUACUUCUAAAUAAGUGGGUACAAUGAAUCUCACUUUCAAAAGAAAGCCUUGUUUCUAAAGUAGAACUGCUGAUGUAUUCUAGAUAUUUUUUCUUCUUAGGACUUUUCAAGAUACUCCUUCCAAAAUUCCUAGUAACAAGUCACUCCAGGUUCCUAGGAGAGGACAGGAUAAAGCUGAUAGUGUUGGAAACCGCCAAGUCCAUUUGCAUUGUUUCUUAUUGAAAAGGUGCUAUCUGGUAGUGCUUCAGAAGUACCUACUGUUGUAUUUUCAGUAUAAUAAAAUACAGCUGAACAGAAGCA